CAAACCAAAAGACUGGGCGGACCGGCGCACGGGUGAGUAACACGUAUCCAACCUGCCUCAUACUCGGGGAUAGCCUUUCGAAAGAAAGAUUAAUAUCCGAUAGCAUAUAUUUCCCGCAUGGGUUUUAUAUUAAAGAAAUUCGGUAUGAGAUGGGGAUGCGUUCCAUUAGUUUGUUGGGGGGGUAACGGCCCACCAAGACUACGAUGGAUAGGGGUUCUGAGAGGAAGGUCCCCCACAUUGGAACUGAGACACGGUCCAA
rnacentral:rRNA from 1 species